AGAGUAUCAAAAGCCGUAGAGUGAGUGUGCUGCGUCUAAAGUGCUGAUCCCAUUUGCAGAUGCCGCAGACUUGGCCAUGUCCGCUGUUUAAAAUUUCUGAAGUCUCUACGAAGUCGGAAAAGAAAUGAAUUAGUGGAGAGAACGAAGAUUCCGAAGUAGAGUAAAACUUUAGGUCCUUCUUCCAAGCACCAAAACCAGGUGGGGCUUCGUGGCUGAACCAUCAUCGGGGCUUGAAAGUCGUGCUAAAGUCUCGUGCUGACAUAUUAUACAAGGAGAAAAAACUGACUCUGAAUAAUCUAGUCUACAAUAGAAGACUUAAAAGUCAUCCGACGAGAUGGGCUGUUACUCAACAAUGGAAGGAUCCUUUGGAGAAGAAAUUUUAUGCGAAGAAUAUAGCACAAGUAACUGCAUCGAAAACGAAUUUGUGUGUGAAUUACCAACGACUUCUUCUCUUUUUGACAUCAUUCCGGAUGAACGUAUCAAAGAAACAUUUAAUUAUGAAUUGGGUCAAACACCAGCAAGCGAUACCCACACCAAUCUUUUAUCACAAAAUUCGACGGCAACCAAGAGCGAACAUGGUAAUACACGGCUAACAGAUCGCAAUACCAAAGUUCCAGUAAAAAAUAGAGCAAAUUCUGUAAUAAAGUUUUGUGAUGAAGAAUCUUUUGAAGAUUGGCUGCAACCGGAAAAGAACAUAAGAGGUAAUGAGGAACAUGAUAGCACAGAAGAAAGCGAUACCAUUGAAAUAAAAUGGAUAGUACCUAAACGCCGCUCUGAGCGCUUAAGUAAAGUGAAGUCUAAAUGUCUCUCUGAAAAUCGAACUAAUGACGGAGAAGCAUCUUCAAGUGGUAUACAAACGAGGCUACAGGCUAAUAGGCGAUGCCAUAAUCUAUCACGGGAUUCAAACGGUUCUGAUUCUACUAAUCACUGUUCUCAUUCGUCUGCUGAGCUUCUGCCGACGGAAUCUUCUUCGACACCUAGUGGGAACCUCGUGAGGCUAAAUAAAGCAGUAAAUCACUGUUUAAAAGGACACGAAUUUGACGCUUCACAAGCUGUUAUCAAUCUGAACCUUAAGAAAUUAAUAAUUUUAUGCGAUGAAUGUUGCGUAAGAUAUGAAAUGAGCAUGUAGCAAAUGAUCAUUAUGGGCAUUUAUUUUAUUUAUGAUAGUAGAAUUUUAUGCGAAUAAAUUUUAAGAAGCGGCAGAUCUAUAAAAUAUAUGUUGCCAUUUUGUAAAGCAGCAAGUAUACUCGAGUUAAAUUUAUCAUCCAUUGAUUUCAAAAGCUUGAUCUGAACUUUUUCAUGGUUUUGGGUAAUACAACGUUCAAAAGCUGAAUAUUGUUGCAGUUUCUCAUCUAUUUUCCAUGACAAUCAACCACAUAGGGAGGGGGGAGUAAAACAAGACGUCGAGGUAGUUUUCAUAGAUGAUGAAGUAUCUAACGGGGGUAGUAUAGCUUUCUGUUUUACCUCAUAAUGUCGAAAACUGUGUUUUGAGAGGCAAUACUGGCUCGAUAUAAGGUGUAAAAAAUUUUUGCGUAUCCUUUUGUGUCAUGCGAUAAUGAUGCAAAUGGACAUUGUUUUGAACCAAUCUAUCAGCGGGCACCGGAUGAGAGAGAUUCUCAAAAAGCUUAGUAUUUUGAUUCAUAAACAGGACGGUGCGUAAGAAAUUAUUUCUACUCUAAUUCAGAAAGAGUGCGUUUAUUUGGUUUACGAUAAUAUACAUAUUGUAACGUUUAGUGUGUUCUGUUUAUGGCAUGGGAAUGACGUACAGUUUAGUUUCUAACAUUUCGUGUGGUAGAGAUACACUUAUAAUACGGGAUUGACAUUUUGGUAGUUUUGUCAUUUUUAUGUAUGUUCGCUCGUGAGUACAUUAAUUGGUAACCAUUUUUUUCAGUCAUGAUAUGAGUAAAUCAAGCACAGAAAAGGAUUUGAAUACAGUAAACUAUUAGUAGCGUCAGUUUAAACGGAAUUUUCACCAGACAGCUUUUCUGGCGACUACAUUUCAGCCGAGGGUCUCCCGGAUUGAACGGACUUUAAAAUUCAAUAUGAUCAAUUCGCUUCUAUUUUUAUAAUCAAUUCACAAGCAUCUUUAUGCUGCGUUUGUUUUUUUCUGAUUGCAUGAAAUAUUUUGUUAUUGAGUCCUAUGUGAUUGGUGCAAUAGUAAUUAAUUAUAGUGUUUACAUUAAAUGCUUAAAAUUUUCCAACUUAUGCCACAAAACUAGCUUCUGACUGCUUGUUGCUAAUAUUUGAUGACGAAUCAUAUCAUUUAUAGUAUGACUUGAUAUGCGGUUCUGAAGUAAU
rnacentral:lncRNA from 1 species